UCGAGCUUUCUCCAUGGCGUCACUUGUUUCGCUGAUCAUGGACAAGGUCUUGGAAGUUCCUGCGCAGGUUUUGGCUGAACUUCUCACACAGAAGGUUUCAUCCCGCACCACUGUAUGGAGGCCGGAUUUUGGCAACAAAUUGGGCGUUCAAUAUAGGGUUGACUUAGGGGCAGCCCCACGGGGGUCCCCUGGUUUGACCAGACUCUCCGAGGUCAUUCCUCCAUGCCAGCCUCUUUUGAGAAGACAGAGGGUUGGAAGAUUCCUUCAGCGGCCAGGUUGCCUGGGACCCUUAUCAAGAAGGCUGAGCUCAUCAUACCAGCCUAUACCAGCCUGAAUUUUUCUGCUCCAAAGAAUUAUUUGGAGGAAGGAGAAAGCAUCGGGGACAUGGAGACACCUUGGCCAGCAUCUGGAGGCCAAGAAUCCCGGCGUCUUUCCUGAGGUUCAGCAAUAGCCUUUCAUCUUGGGGGCUCGUCUGGGAUUCUUCAGGACAAGAUGGGCCUGAUAACCUAUGUGAGCCUACUUAUGCUGACUCCAAAAAUCCUGAGUCUGCCGUCUGAUCCUCAAGACAACGCCUUCCUGUCCUGGGCUCACUCCUAUGCUGCAUUCCACAAUCGGUCUAACUGCUGGGUUUGUGGCGCGCUCCCCUCUUCAUCAGUGGAAGGCUUCCCGUGGUGGACAUCUCCACUUCAAGGAAAAGACUUUCUCCAAGUCUGCGAAUACCUUCGACAACAAUCAUAUGUGAUGCCUCUUCUUAAACUGAUGACGUCUAACAACCCUAUAAUGGACUGGUGCAACACGUUGUUCUUUAACUAUGGACACAAUGUGACGUUUAAUUUUGAUUAUACAUUGUCUCGGUUCAAUGACUAUUUUGCUACACACAAGGCAAAUAGGUCUAAAUCUAAUGGUUUUUUACCUGAUGUUUAUCAAAUAUGGGAUGAGGUUAUAUGGUUAACUCCUGAAAAAGGACGUCUAAUAUCUACUGCCCCUAUUUGCUGGGAACAAAUAGAGCCAUCCCCAGAAUUUAGUCAACAACUUAAAUUAUAGUGAUUGGAAACCCUUGGGAUUUUUGCCUCAGGAAAUAUGCAAUGUAAUCAUUCCCGUGUUUUCCAACCCCAAUUCAGGUCCUCCCUUUGUCUGGCCAGGCACUGAUUGGGACUGGAUAUCUAUGUCAUGCUGGCUUGCUCCAAACGGGACUUAUUGGACAUGUGGCUCUUACCUGUGGGCAUGGCUUCCCCCUGGGUGGACAGGGAGAUGCACCCUAGGUCUAGCCUUUACUCACGGCUUUAUAUUUUCAGAGCUUCCAGAGAAGCCUGCUAAUUUACCCCACCUUACAACUCGGUGGGCACGGUCUGUAUUUCACUGGUAUGGUUAUUUGGCUGCAGUGUUUGUCCCCUCUUUGGGAACUACAGAUGUUAUGCUACGAGUGGAUGGUUUGACUAAUUGUACUCAACAGGCAUUACAAGGUUCUCAGAAAGCUAGUUCAGCUCUUAAUGCUGAACAAGCACAGAUUAGAAAGGUGGUUUUACAAAACAGAUUGGCUUUAGAUAUCUGACAGCCGCGCAAGGAGGAACUUGUGCCAUUCUUCAUACCCAGUGCUGUGCGUAUAUACCUGAGAUGAGCACUAAUGUCACUCACUUUACUAAACACAUGACCAAGAUGACUGGGGCUAGGGAUACUCCCGAAGCCUCAAUUGCUUCACUUUGGGAGACGUUAACUACUUCCCCAGGGUGGAAAGCUAUCUUAAUUACAAUAAUUCUGAUUGUUCUAUUUUUGUUGUUUGCUCCCUGCAUCUGUAACUGUGUCAUUGGAUUUGUUUCUAGUCCAUGAAGGCUUUUAAGUUAGAAAUGGUUGUCCAAGCUCCUAGGAGUGCCACAGCCUCUUUCAAAUAUUACUUGGGACCCCUGGAUGAGAGACCCUCAAUACGAGGGUUAGGAGAAUAUGUUGCCUCAACAACUUAGGGACCACGCCCCUAAACAGCAGGAAGUAGUUAUGGAACGAAAACGGCGCCCCUUUCCCUUGGCAACAUAAUUCUCCUAAAAGCAAAGGGGGGAUGAGAGAGUCAAUUCCUCGGCAGGUUGAUAGGAAGUCCAGGGGUCCCCAAGGAGAGAGGGGUCUGGAAUUCUCAAGGAGGAAGAAAGGACAAACUUUUUUUCCCUCUACAUUCCUUAGGAUUAUAUAACAAUAAUGUAUCCUACUUGAGGACAGUCUCUGGAAAAAAAACCUUCUGGCUAAUCCUGUUAUCUCAAAAUGUAAAUUAUGGCAGUAGGUCUGGUGAGGUCUUUACAAACUCGAGACAUUCUUUUGAUUGACUGUAAUAACUAAUUUGAGAGUAUAUGACUCCAUGGCUAAUGCUAGCAAGGGGGUACUCUUUCUGCCCCCUUCUGAUGUCUAUGUCGGAAGCUUCCUUUAUCCCUUUGAUACUUUAAUAAACUUUAUUACACAAAA